GAAUGUACAGGUGAUCUGGCUGCAAUAUCUGUCACCCCAUGAUCAUCAGGGUUCAUUUAGCUGAUCUGGCUGGCUAGGCAGGUGUCCCCUUCCUUUCUCACUGUUCCAUAUAAGUCCCUCCAGAAGCUGCUUGGUUAAGAGGAUGGCCUUCCCCCAAUAGGGAAGGACUGGUUGAGGGUAUACUAGUAGCUGCGCUCCCCUGCUAGAACCUCCAAAGAAGCUCUCAAGGAGGUGCUAGGACAAGUACCCAUUGAUUUCACAGGCUGCAAAGAGUGAAAAGGGAGCAGCCUGUUAAUUUAUUCACGCUCCUGCAGCAUCUACUGAAGGAGGUAAAGUGGGCCUUUGUGCCUGCCAGGAGCUGCCAGGA
ensembl:misc_RNA 7SK 7SK RNA